GACGAACGCUGGCGGCGUGCUUAACACAUGCAAGUCGAACGGAAAGGCCCUUCGUGUGACGCGAGUUGGGAAGGGGAGCGUGAGAGGUAGGCGAGCGUACCUGCACUUUGGGAUAAGGCUGGGUUAAUGGAUCUGAUACUAAAUCGGAACACGCGCUCCUUGUGCAUGGUGGGGGAGCGUCGGCGGUUGGGGUUGGGCCCGCGGCGUCUCCGCUUGUUGGUGGGGUAGUGGCUUUCCAAGGCGACGACGGGUAGGCGGCCUGAGAGGGUGACCGGCCACAUUGGGACUGAGAUACGGCCCAGACUCCUACGGGAGGCAGCAGUGGGGAAUAUUGCACAAUGGGCGGAAGCCUGAUGCAGCAACGCCGCGUGCGGGAUGACGGCCUUCGGGUUGUAAACCGCUUUCGCCUGUGACGAAGCGUGAGUGACGGUAAUGGGUAAAGAAGCACCGGCUAACUACGUG
rnacentral:rRNA from 1 species